GGCCAGCGCGCUCGGGCGGGGACCGCGGCGCCGCGGGGGCCGCAUCCUCGGUGCGGGCCGGGGAAAGUUUGGGAAGUCGGUGCGGCCGCUCUGCAGCGGCGGGGGACGCGCGGCCCAGGCCGCCCUCCGAGCCGCGCUCGUCCUCUCCGCGCCGCUGCUGAAUAAUUCAUGGCGCGCCCGCCGGCCAUUAGCAUGCACCGGGCGCGCGGCGCGUCUGUGCCAAGCCACCGCUGCAUUCGGAGCCCGGGCAGCGCCAGACGAGUGGCCCGCUCCGUCCCGGUGCCCUCCGGCCGCCCCCGGUGGCUCUCACCGUGGCCACGCUCGCGCCCUGGGCCGCUGGGUCCCGAGCCCGCCCGACGGCCAGGCUCUGAGCGUCCGGGCCCGCUGCGCCCGCCUGGCCGCUCCGGGAUGCACGUGAACUUGGAGAAAGUCACGGAGCACGCCGGCCCGGUCCUCCGCGGCAGGGCGUGGGCGCACGCGGGCCCGCACACUCUCGUUGGCGUCCGGGACAAAGGUCUCCAGUGGCGCCAGCCGUGGACGCGUGACUCGAUCCUUCGGGCCACUCUUGCGUGGUGGGUCGUUGGAUGUAAGACUGCAGAAGCCCGGAGAGCGGUGGGUCCCGGGUUUGGGGCCUCGCCGUAAGCUGGCCAGAGGCCGUCCCACCCUGCGAAGAGUUGCGGGAGCGGCUCCGCACUGCCCUCGGCUGUUUCUGCGCGCCCAGGAGCCCAACGCAAGUCACCCCGGACUCCAGCCAGCGGCCGCGGGCAUGCCAGCGCAGCGCUAGCGGCGGCCAAGACGUGGUCUGGCAGGGCGGUGGACGUGUGCGCCGCGGGCAUGAUCAAGGUUGGAGAGGUUCAUACCUGUUGGUGGAGAUGUUAGAGAGGAGUGGAGAUAAAAACUUGAUGAAGUCCGACACAGCUGGCUGGGAGUGAACCUGGAUGCUCCUAAGGACCCCCCAGGAAAGUAAGCACCUGGCAUGUGUAUCAGAAGACCCCCUAUGGCCUCACACACAGGCACCGGCUUCUUCUUGACAACUUCCCUGGGUGACUCUUAGAACUCAAUGGCCACGUCCAGCUCAGAGAUCAGAAGCAGCGCGCGUCCCAGAGCGCUACCAUAAUGAUGCCGUCCAGGUCCACAGUACAACCGGCUGCCUUGGUCAUUGCCGUAAUGACAGUACAUUCCAACUUCUCAAGGUGGUCAGGAAGUGGAACCAAGCAGGAAGUUCUGCAUGCCUAUGGCUUCCCUGUGGAGGGACCUCAAGAAGCCACAACAUCCAGCUCUACGCCAAGACUGACUGACGGCCUUUGGGGUGAGGUAGUAGGUUGUAUGGUUUUGGGCUCUGCCCCGCUCUGCGGUAACUAUACAAUCUACUGUCUUUCCUGAAGUGGCCGCAAUAUCUGCAGUGGAUACAACGGCGGCCCUGGCUGGGGAGACUGAGGGAGGGACAGGGGGGUGAUAACUACCAUGCAAAAAGAGCCUGACAGAGACCUUGGAUAGUCCCUUGACCUCUCUGGGCUGUUACUCAUCUGUAUAAGGGUUGGGGCAUAGCGAUGAAAACAGACAGCAUUUUCAGGGCACCUUCUCUCCCUGGCCCACACUGAAGGGGCCUUCCUGCCCCUGGCCCCAUAUCAGACCUGUGCUCACAGGUCUCCAUGAAAAGAGGGUCUGGACUAGACCUUCAACUAUGUUCCAGAGUUGCCCAGGCUUUCCAGCGCAGGGUCAGGCCUCUGACGAGCAAGCGUCUCUUCCGAGAAGAAAUUGAAAAGGAGCCAUUCUUAGCACACCCAUGAGUACAGCCUGCAGAUGGACCGUGUAGGCCACUGUCCCCUGUCCCUGGGGCAAUGGGUUCAGACACCAGAGGCUUCCUCAAUCUGUUUGGUAGGCACAGGCCUUUCUCACUGAACCUCUGUCUCCACUUCCCCCUCCCCCACCCCGCCCUGUGCCCUAUGGCUCUAGUGGCCUGUGGCCAGGGUGGGUGGGGAGCGGCUGGGCCUCCUCCAGAACACGGACACCGCAGGGUGAGGUAGUAGGUUGUGUGGUUUCAGGGCAGUGAUGUUGCCCCUCCGAAGAUAACUAUACAACCUACUGCCUUCCCUGAGGCGCCCAGGGACACAGCUACAUGGAGGCCCCCGCUCAGCAAGCUAAAUGGAGCCACAGAUUGGGUGGGGGCUAUGACGUGGGACCUGGGUAUAAAUAAAGGAUGUUCUGUCAUGAAC